rnacentral:tRNA from 1 species
ACUUUUAAAGGAUAGCAAUAAUCUAUUGGUCUUAGAAACCAAAAGCUUUGGUGCAAAUCCAAAUAAAAGGA